GUGAGGUAACUGCUCACCAAGGCGACGACGGGUAGCUGGUCUGAGAGGACGAUCAGCCACACUGGAACUGGGACACGGUCCAGACUCCUACGGGAGGCAGCAGUGGGGAAUCUUGCACAAUGGGCGCAAGCCUGAUGCAGCGAUGCCGCGUGCGGGAAGAAGGCCCUAGGGUUGUAAACCUCUUUCAGUGGGGACGAAAUUGACGGUACCCACAGAAGAAGCACCGGCCAACUACGUGCCAGCAGCCGCGGUAAUACGUAGGGUGCAAGCAUUGUCCGGAUUUAUUGGGCGUAAAGAGCUCGUAGGCAGCUUAACAAGUCGGCCGUGAAAUACCGAGGCUCAACCUCGGGGAGUCGGUCGAAACUGUUAUAGCUAGAGUACGGUAGAGGAGAGUGGAAUUCUCGGUGUAGCGGUGGAAUGCGCAGAUAUCGAGAGGAACACCAGUAGCGAAGGCGGCUCUCUGGGCCGUUACUGACGCUGAGGAGCGAAAGCAUGGGUAGCAAACAGGAUUAGAUACCCUGGUAGUCCAUGCCGUAAACGUUGGGCACUAGGUGUGGGUCUCAACCAACGAGAUCCGCGCCGUCGCUAACGCAUUAAGUG
rnacentral:rRNA from 1 species